UUUAAUUCGAAGCAACGCGAAGAACCUUACCUAAGCUUGACAUCCCAAUGACAUCUCCUUAAUCGGAGAGUUCCCUUCGGGGACAUUGGUGACAGGUGGUGCAUGGUUGUCGUCAGCUCGUGUCGUGAGAUGUUGGGUUAAGUCCCGCAACGAGCGCAACCCUUGUCUUUAGUUGCCAUCAUUAAGUUGGGCACUCUAGAGAGACUGCCAGGGAUAACCUGGAGGAAGGUGGGGAUGACGUCAAAUCAUCAUGCCCCUUAUGCUUAGGGCUACACACGUGCUACAAUGGGUAGUACAGAGGGUUGCCAAGCCGUAAGGCGGAGCUAAUCCCUUAAAGCUACUCUCAGUUCGGAUUGUAGGCUGAAACUCGCCUACAUGAAGCUGGAGUUACUAGUAAUCGCAGAUCAGAAUGCU
rnacentral:rRNA from 1 species